GUACACAAAAAUGCACAUACUGUGAGCUCGAUGAGUAGGGCGGGACACGUGGUAUCCUGUCUGAAUAUGGGGGGACCAUCCUCCAAGGCUAAAUACUCCUGACUGACCGAUAGUGAACCAGUACCGUGAGGGAAAGGCGAAAAGAACCCCGGCGAGGGGAGUGAAAAAGAACCUGAAACCGUGUACGUACAAGCAGUGGGAGCCUCUUAAUGGGGUGACUGCGUACCUUUUGUAUAAUGGGUCAGCGACUUAUAUUCUGUAGCAAGGUUAACCGAAUAGGGGAGCCGAAGGGAAACCGAGUCUUAACUGGGCGUUAAGUUGCAGGGUAUAGACCCGAAACCCGGUGAUCUAGCCAUGGGCAGGUUGAAGGUUGGGUAACACUAACUGGAGGACCGAACCGACUAAUGUUGAAAAAUUAGCGGAUGACUUGUGGCUGGGGGUGAAAGGCCAAUCAAACCGGGAGAUAGCUGGUUCUCCCCGAAAGCUAUUUAGGUAGCGCCUCGUGAAUUCAUCUCCGGGGGUAGAGCACUGUUUCGGCAAGGGGGUCAUCCCGACUUACCAACCCGAUGCAAACUGCGAAUACCGGAGAAUGUUAUCACGGGAGACACACGGCGGGUGCUAACGUCCGUCGUGAAGAGGGAAACAACCCAGACCGCCAGCUAAGGUCCCAAAGUCAUGGUUAAGUGGGAAACGAUGUGGGAAGGCCCAGACAGCCAGGAUGUUGGCUUAGAAGCAGCCAUCAUUUAAAGAAAGCGUAAUAGCUCACUGGUCGAGUCGGCCUGCGCGGAAGAUGUAACGGGGCUAAACCAUGCACCGAAGCUGCGGCAGCGACACUAUGUGUUGUUGGGUAGGGGAGCGUUCUGUAAGCCUGUGAAGGUG
rnacentral:rRNA from 1 species